UACGUAGGUGGCGAGCGUUGUCCGGAUUUACUGGGCGUAAAGGGAGCGUAGGCGGAUUUUUAAGUGAGAUGUGAAAUACUCGGGCUCAACUUGAGUGCUGCAUUUCAAACUGGAAGUCUAGAGUGCAGGAGAGGAGGAUGGAAUUCCUAGUGUAGCGGUGAAAUGCGUAGAGAUUAGGAAGAACACCAGUGGCGAAGGCGAUUCUCUGGACUGUAACUGACGCUGAGGCUCGAAAGCGUGGGGAGCAAACAGG
rnacentral:rRNA from 1 species